rnacentral:misc_RNA from 1 species
AGUUCAUCUUGUUGAGCUGAAGGUUUUCUUGCAAGGAGAAAUGUAUUACGGUUUAAAAUGUUGGGAGUUGGCAGAUCUGCCUUCUCCUCCUGUAUGGACUGCUCUAAAAUGGAUCUCUGAUGAUGAUGAUUUUAAGCCUCUGGAAGUCCUGCAUACGAAGAAAUGUGAGGAGUUGGCAGAUAUGCCCCCUGGUUCUUUUGCAGAUUUCGACAGGUUACCGAAGCUCUGGGAUGAUACGGAAAAGGAUAAUGAGAAUUUGCAUUGGGAACUUACCGAAAACGCCGAAACUUGCUUGGAUAGGU